GAUGAACGCUAGCGGCAGGCCUAAUACAUGCAAGUCGGACGGGAUCCAUUGAUAGCUUGCUAUCAAUGGUGAGAGUGGCGCACGGGUGCGUAACGCGUGAGCAACCUGCCUCCAUCAGGGGGAUAGCCUCUCGAAAGAGAGAUUAACACCGCAUAAUAUCAACAGUUCGCAUGUUCAGUUGAUUAAAAAUUUAUAGGAUGGAGAUGGGCUCGCGUGACAUUAGCUAGUUGGUAGGGUAACGGCUUACCAAGGCGACGAUGUCUAGGGGCUCUGAGAGGAGAAUCCCCCACACUGGUACUGAGACACGGACCAGACUCCUACGGGAGGCAGCAGUAAGGAAUAUUGGUCAAUGGGCGGAAGCCUGAACCAGCCAUGCCGCGUGCAGGAUGACUGCCCUAUGGGUUGUAAACUGCUUUUGUCCAGGAAUAAACCUAAAUACGAGUAUUUAGCUGAAUGUACUGGAAGAAUAAGGAUCGGCUAACUCCGUG
rnacentral:rRNA from 1 species